rnacentral:lncRNA from 1 species
AUAACUAUUAGUUUAAAUGAACGAGAUAAGGACAUAAAAACCAUUGGGGUUGCCUCAGGAAAGGCAAUGGAGGAGGGUGGUAUCUUGUAAUUAUCCUGCAUUAUAGUUUAUCCCCAAGGAAGCAAUUUGUUUCAAACUUCUUAAAUGCUAGAAUCUUUUUUUACCCCUUGAGAAUUGCGUUAACACAACUAUUUUAAUAGGUGUUGCUCAUAGGGCUAAAUGCUUCAGAUAUGUACACAAUCUAGAUAACAUUUUUACCUUAUAUUAAUUUCUAAUAGUCCACUUCUCUCGAAGUAUUGAUAACACACUUUUUUCCAGUCUAAGAAUACAGAUAUCACUUGUUAGUUUGUAUGUGAAUUUGUAACUUCUUCUAGGAUAUGCCUACUUGUGACCUUAGUUUACCUAAUCUUCUUGAGAUUCAACAAUUAGUUUAUUUAGUCGACAACAUCAGCUUAGAAUAUUCUAUGUAACAAAAGGCUGAUUUUCUAAAAGAAGCUGAUUCCUUUGAAGGAGAGCUUCAUUUUUAUAAUAUUCACUCCCUCCUUCUGAAGUGAAUAAGAAAAAUUCGGGUAUUGUUAGAAGCAUACAUAUAGAGGAUAAGCUUUUAGAUUUCGAAAAUAUUGAAUCUCGAUAUUGGACAGAACUAGAUGUAGUAUUGAAUGGUGUUAAGGAGUUUUUGAAUUCUACAGAGUUUGAGUUAAUGAAAUAUCUAUCAGAUCAUCGUUUAACAAUACAGUGCCUUGAAGUUUAGUUACACUGCUCAAAUUCCUCAUCACGAAUGGACGCCUAAUUGUUGUAGAACAACCGCGUUUUAAGGAGUACUCGACAUUCCAUUAAGGAAAAUAGCCAUUGAUGAAGAAUUUUAGGAUUUUCAGGUUCUAACUUCUGCUUUACCUUGAAUUAUUUCCCUACUGUACAAUAAUACAUUUAUAUCUACUAUAAUUUGUUGAAGGACGUACUGCUAUGGUGCUAGCUUUUUUUACUUGGAAUACUUUUAUUGUCCAAUGGAGUAUUUUUUUGACUAACUAUGACUUGAAUUCUCAUUAUUAAUAAUUUUAUUGAUUUUGCAACUUUUUGUAGAAAAAUGACAUUUUGUGGAAGAAAGACGAGUGAUCAACUCGUAUAACUAGUUAGUUCCUUGCCAAUAAUUCCAACUUUUCAUAUAUUUUUAAACAUAUUUAAUACAUACGCUAACUAAACCAUAAUUCAUGCACAACUCGUGCAUCGCACGUAGCAUAGACUAGUUCUUUAAAAGAUGAUCCGUCUUAUGUAAGGUUGACCAGAGAGGAGGUCAAGUCUCGCCUUGAGAUUCACGAGCCUAGAUGUAAUUUUUUAAUAUUAUUUUAGACCAAUAAACAAGUGAAAUAAACAUUUCUUGAAAAUUAUUUUUGCUAGCACAAGAGGAGAAAACCCUGUAGCUACAAUCUUGUUCUUUGUGUGGAUUACCG